GUGAGCGCGCCCGGGCGCACACACGCGCGACAGCAGCGCGCGGCGCGAGUGUGAUGCGAGCGCGCCGCGAGCCAUGGCCACGCUCGGCCUCUCCAAGGUGUUCAUCCUCGACAAAUACUUCACUGAGCUGCAGAAGUUCUGGGAGACGGAGAAGAAGUUGCAAGACGCGUCGUCAUCGAACGAGGCGGUGCACCUGCAGCGGCGGCUGCUGAGCCUCAGCUCGGAGCUGGUGACGCUCCGCAACCACCUGCACGUGGGCGCGGCGGGGGCGGCGGGGGCGGCGGGCGCCGGGCCGCCCGCGGGCAAGCCCGGCACGCCGCAGCCCGCCGUGCCGCCGCGGGCCCCGCACCACCCCGCGCCGCCGCAGCCGCCACACCCGCCACACCCGCCGCCGCCAGACACUCGAUGGCGGAGCUCAGCGGCGGCGCCGACGGCCAGCACCGCAUGCACCGGCACGGUAGCAGGCGCGGGGUCGGCGCCGACGGCGGGCGGCGUCGGCGCCGACGUGGACGACCUCAUCCACCUGCGCGGCCCACUCACUGAGGACGCCGUGGUGCGCGCGCUGCAGGCGCGCUUCUAUCACAAUAAGUUUUACACGUGGAUAGGUCCGAUCCUGGUGGCGGUGAACGGGUACACGGACGCGGGCAACGCGCUGACGCUGACGGCGGCGCGGGCGCAGCGGCCCGAGCUGGCGCGGCUCGUGCACACCGCCGUGCGCCACCAGGCCGACACCGGCUACCCGCAGGCCAUCAUACUCUCCGGCGUGUCGGGGUCGGGCAAGACGUACGCGUCGAUGGUGCUGCUGCGGCGGCUGUUCGACGUGGCGGGCGGCGGGCCCGAGACCGACGCCUUCAAGCACCUCGCGGCCGCCUUCACCGUGCUGCGCGCGCUCGGCGCCGCCGCCACGCCCAACAACACGCACUCCUCGCGCAUCGGCCACUUCAUCGAGGUGCAGGUGACGGACGGUGCGCUGUACCGCACCAAGAUCCACUGCUACUUCCUGGACCAGACGCGCGUGGUGCGGCCGCCGGCCGGGGAGCGCAACUACCACAUCUUCUACCAGCUGCUGGCGGGACUCACGCCCGACGAGCGCGCGCAGCUGCACCUCGAGGGGUACUCCGCCCAAGACCUCAGGUACCUCGCGUCCCCCCAACACCGGCGGCCCGACCCCGAGGACGCGGCCCGCUUCCACGCGUGGAAGACGUGCCUCGGCAUCCUCGGCAUCCCGUUCCUGGACGUGGUGCGCGUGCUGGCGGCCGUGCUGCUGCUGGGCAACGUGCAGUUCUCGGAGGGCGCGGAGGGCGGCGCGGAGCCGGCGGGCGAGGCGGAGCUGGCGGCGGCGGGCGCGCUGCUGGGCGUGCCGGCGCCGGCGCUGCUGCGCGGCCUCAGCACGCGCGUGGCCCCGCGGCCCGCGGCGCCGCGCCCGCCGCCGCGCCUGCCCGCCACGCCGGCCGCGGCCGCCGCCGCGCGCGACGCGCUGGCCAAGGCGCUGUACUGCCGCACGGUGGCCACCAUCGUGCGCCGCGCCAACUCGCUCAAGCGGCUCGGCUCCACGCUGGGCACGCUGUCGUCGGACUCCAACGAGUCGGUGCACAACCAGGACGCGGCGUCGCGGCGCGCGUCCACGGCGGGCGGGCGCGGCCGCGCCGGCGCCAAGUCCAUGGCGGUGCUCAACGACGCCGUGCGCCACGCCACCGACGGCUUCGUCGGCAUCCUCGACAUGUUCGGCUUCGAGGACGCGGCGCCCAGCCGGCUCGAGCACCUCUGCGCCAACCUCUGCGCGGAGACCAUGCAGCACUUUUAUAACACGCACGUCUUCAAGUCUUCCGCCGAGUCGUGUCGCGAAGAGGGAGUCGCUUGCGCACUCGAAGUGGACUACGUGGACAACGUGCCGUGUAUCGACCUGGUGUCGUCGCUGCGGGGCGGGCUGCUGGCGGCCCUGGACGCGGAGUGCGCGGCCCGCGGCACGCCCGACCAGUACGUCGCUCGGAUCAAAGCCGCGCACCGCGGCCACCCGCGGCUGUGCGAGGCGCGCCCGCCGCACGCGCGGCGCUUCGCCGUGCGCCACUACUGCGGCGAGGUGGCGUACGACGCCAGCGACUUCCUCGAGGCCAACCGCGACACCGUGCCCGACGACCUGCUCGCCGCCUUCGACUCGCGCGCCUGCGAGUUCGGCUUCGCUACGCAUCUCUUUGGAGCUGAGCUUAAGGCGCUGGCGGCGCAGGGCGGGCCUGUGGGCGCGCAGUUCCGCGCCUCGCCCACGGUGGCGGCCGCGCUGCACGACGCGCCCGCCUCCACGCUCACGCAGGACUUCCACACGCGCCUCGACAACCUGCUGCGCACGCUCGUGCACGCGCGGCCGCACUUCGUGCGCUGCCUGCGCGCCAACAACACCGAGACGCCCAUGCUCUUCGAACGGGCCACUAUCGCCAAACAGGUGCGUGCGCUGCAGAUCCUAGAGACGGCGCAGCUGAUGGCGAGCGGGUACCCGCACCGCAUGCGCUUCCGCGCGUUCUCGGGGCGCUACCGCGCGCUGUGGCGGCGCGGCGCCGAGCGGGACGCGCCCGCCGCCUGCGCCGCCGUGCUGCGGGCCGUGCAGGCGGCCGCCGCGCCGCCCGCGCCCGCCUCGCCCGCCGCCGUGCGCGGGGCGCUCGGCUCCAGGCACGUGUUCCUCAGCGAGGGCAUGCGCCAGGUGCUGGAGCGCAUGCGGCGCGAGCGGCGCCAGGCGGCCGCCGAGUGCAUCCAGGCGGCGUGGCGGCGCCAGCGGGCCGGCCGCGCCCGCGGGCCCGCCGCGGCGCCGCCCGCGCCCGCCGCGCGGCCCCGCCCCGCGCCCAUCGCCGGCACGCCGCCGCCCGACCCCCAGGACAAGUGCGACCCCGCCCUCGUCAAGAAGACCUGCUCUCUCUUCGGCUUGGAUCUGGAGCGGCCGCCGCCGCUGCCGCCGCCGCGCGCGUACACCGUGGCGGGCGGCGUGAAGCUGGGCUACCCGCAGCAGCGCACGGUGCGCGUGGAGUGGGCGGAGGAGGCGGGCGGCGCGCGGCUGCGCGCGGGCGACACGGUGCUGGCCGUGGGCGCGGCGCGGCGCGGGCUGGUGUGCGUGCAGCUGGGCGCGCGCACGCUGGCCGUGCCGCACCGCGUGCUGGCGCCGCCGCGCGCGCCGCUGCGCCCGCAGCCGCCGCCGCCCGCGCCCCCCGCGCCGCCCGCGCCGCCGCCCGCGCCCGCCAAUUCAUUGUAACUGUAAAUAGUAGCAUGCUAAGUAUUUAUAACAAUGCAUCCUGCACCUACUCGGAAAGUGGCUCCUUCCUUUUUAAAAGUACGGCACUGACACGUAAAUAAGCGAGAAUAAAGAAAAAUAUUGUACCGCCUUUUUAUUUUUGUGGCAUCAGCAAACUUCAUUUAAAAAUAAAAAAAUGGCGGCAGCGUGUCACGCGUGGCUGUAUGUACACUUUAAAUAAAAAAGAUUAUAUUUUUUAAGAUUACAAUCGCUCGCGUCUCUCGAUACUAUUAUUGUUGUAGUUAUUUUCCUUGUAGGUGUAAAGGUGUAAAUCACUCGGGAGAAAGUACCUACAUAGGUACGAGUCCCAACUCAUGUGUUCUACACCCUCGUUGGUAUUCGGUCACUUUCUUCCCUUGUCGAACAAUGUACAGUCGCUCACGAUGUUUUAUAUAGAGGUGCUUACCAUAAUUAUUUGUUAUAAGUAUUUGAAAGAUUAAUUAAAUCCAACGAUAAUCACCACCUUAAAACGUGACUUAACCUUUGAUCUGUGUGUGAUAAGGAUCCUGACUACCCCUCUCGUAUGUGUGUGAUUAGGAUCCUGACCCAUAGGACUGGUACCUAUUUUUACGUAAUUAUCCACUUUAAUUCUAUCGCAAAAGGUUUAAUGUUGUGUUUUGAACAAAAUUGAAUAAAUGAUCUAUCAUAGACAAUCAUCAUUCGGAUGAAAUGUUCAAUAGUUCCGCUAAAAAAAUCGGUUGAAAUUCCGUCUCGACCAGUGAUACUUCAACUACCAAAAGUGAAUACUAAAAGUGAAAAAUAAGCUGAAAAUUGUUAAAAAAGAUAAAAUGGAUUUAACAAAUCCUUCAGCUCCGUCAACUUCACGGCCUCUUAUCUUUGCGAUGCUCGUCCAGGCGACGCCACAAGGAUCACUGCACCCUUAUUAGUCAUAAUACGGCUCUUAUAAGAAUAAUAUUUUGGUCAUAUAAACCAUAAUAAGAACAGUUGUUUUUGAUUGUAUAUGAAUAAAUGAUUAACAUGUAGAUAUUAUCUCUUAAUCUAACUAAAGUGAAAUCUAAAUAAUAAAAAAAAUACCUAUUAGACAUAUUUCAUUUUCACACCUUACCUGAACAAAAAUAAAACAUCCUAUAUAUGUGUCAGGAUCCUAAUCAUACACAGACUACCGUUCAACAAACGAGUCAGGAUCCGUAUCAUACACAGACGACUGUUCAACAACCAAGUCAGGAUCCGUAUCAUACACAGACGACUGUUCAAGAACCGAGUCAGGAUCCUUAUCAUACACAGACAACUGAAUGACGAAAUACACUCACACAAGCGCAGAUAUUAUUGAGCGAUUUUUUUGCCAUUCCAAAAUUUUUUGUCAUAUUGUUUUCAUAAAAUUGAUCAAUAUAAAGCGAUAUAAGUAUGUAGUGUGAUAUGUCUUUACAAAGCUCUAUUUUUCUAGUUUAUGGUCAUAUCCUUUGAUUUUGACUAUGACUUUUGCCACAAACAAUAAUUGACUGCAUAUUAUUGGUGCAAGUGAAUUUUUGAUCAAACUUCGUAUUCAAGCAGCUCGUAUUUUAUUUACAAGUAAUUUCGAGGCUUGUGUUAUUGUUCAUAAACAAGGAAAUAUAUCUAGCUUUAGUAAUCAAUCGCUUUAUUAUAACGUUCCAUGCACAAAAAGUGAAAUUUACAUCAUAAACUGAAUGCUGGCGAAACUCGUAAAAAUUUUGGAAUGGCUUCCACAGACAGGGGGGUAAUUUUUUGACAGCGCUGCCACAGACUAAAGGUUAAUGAUAUAGCAGGUACUUCUUUGUCUAUUUAAAACCACAAAAUAAAGAAAAUGAAAUGCAAUCAAAUACAAUAUAUACAAGUAGAUAAGUACCUACCGAAUAGUUUUCACCUUUAAAUGAAAACCUUCGAACAAGUUCCCGUUUCUUCGAAAUAUCUAUCGCCCUGUUUGCUUGAGGCGACAAGACAGUAUAUUUCGAGCAAAUGUUUACUUACCUUCUGUUCUCACCUAAUUGCCAUCAAAUAACAUCUGAUCGAAAUAUUCGCGUGAUGUGACCUUCUUACCGUGAUGUAAUGUGAUGACACUAAUCCUGAAGCUACUAUGUCUGCUAAAUUCUGGCCUCCUUGACAACAUGACAGUGGGUAGCUUGAGGUUAAUGUGUUAUGGACGUCGACCAGCGGACAUUUACGUUACACAUCGAGAGUACCCUGUGCGCGCUGACUGACAUGCACGAUGAAUAAACAACACCUGUUUACUUACGUAUCGCUUUUACCUACUUUAUAAGUAGAUGCGGAAGAUAACAUUACGAGGGUUCGUGAGGGGCUGAGGUGCCUGCUUAUUGUGUACGUGAACAUUGGAUAUUUGUUUAGAGUUUAUAAUUUCACCAAUUUAUUUAAGUUAGAUAUAAAGACAAUCCCUUCAUUGCACACGCUAGAAGAGAUAAACUAUACUUACUGUGCGCAGGAUUACUGCGUGAAGCAGCUCCCAUCAGUAUUAUAGUGUGCAGGGUGCAGUGCAAUGCAGGACGUGUAGAGACCGCGGCCACAGCGACCCAACAUGAGUCUGAUUAAAUAUAUUACAAUAUCAUACGGCAACCUAUAGAUAUAUCUAUGUUAUUAGAAUAAGGUACAAAA
rnacentral:misc_RNA from 1 species